GAUGAGUCCGCGUACCAUUAGCUAGUUGGUAGGGUAAUGGCCUACCAAGGCUACGAUGGUUAGCUGGUCUGAGAGGAUGAUCAGCCACACUGGAACUGAGACACGGUCCAGACUCCUACGGGAGGCAGCAGUGAGGAAUAUUGCGCAAUGGGGGCAACCCUGACGCAGCAACGCCGCGUGAGUGAGGAAGGUUUUCGGACCGUAAAGCUCUGUCGAGCGGGAAGAAAUGUAUCGUGGCUAAUAUCCAUGAUAUUUGACGGUACCGCUAAAGGAAGCACCGGCUAACUCCGUGCCAGCAGCCGCGGUAAUACGGGGGGUGCAAGCGUUGUUCGGAAUUAUUGGGCGUAAAGAGCGUGUAGGCGGCUGAAUAAGUCAGAUGUGAAAUCCCUGGGCUUAACCCAGGAAGUGCAUUUGAAACUAUUCAGCUUGAGUAGGGGAGAGGAAAGUGGAAUUCCUGGUGUAGAGGUGAAAUUCGUAGAUAUCAGGAGGAACACCGGUGGCGAAGGCGACUUUCUGGCCCUAUACUGACGCUGAGACGCGAGAGCGUGGGUAGCAAACAGGAUUAGAUACCCUGGUAGUCCACGCUGUAAA
rnacentral:rRNA from 1 species